UAAGAUGGUGUAUGUUGGCUAUCGUACUAUACAACACAAUGUGAAAAGACAAUGCUUUUCUGCCUAAAGGCAUCAAUUUUGACAUCCUCCUGAAACCAGAACAAGGCAUCCACACAGUAAUAAACAUAAUUAUAAAGAUGAUGAAUCCCUGUUGGGCCUACAAUGCCACUUUUUCUGAGGGACAAUUAAAGCAGAUUUCCAGAAUCCACACUUCUUUGUUUUAUAUCAGAAUGAGGCCCUGAUGGAGACAGAUGAUACACUGACUGUGUCACCUGGACCAGUCAGCAAGCUGAGUUCACAUCCAAUCCUGCGAGUUCACUGUGCGAACCUCGAUGCUUCUAAACAGCUCAACCAUGAUCUCUGAAUACUCAAUCACUCCUGGUAUUUCACAGCAAAGUCACCAUUGGUUCUUGAAGAUGUCAUGAAAAGCCAUUCUGGUGCCGUAUUGUCAUUAUCUCCAUAGUAACAACCUCCUGUUCCAUUGUCCCUGUUGACAAUCACAAUCUGAAAAA